CCUACGGGCGGCAGCAGUGAGGAAUAUUGGUCAAUGGGCGGGAGCCUGAACCAGCCAAGUCGCGUGAGGGAAGACGGUCCUACGGAUUGUAAACCUCUUUUGCCGGGGAGCAACGGGGUCCUUGCGAGGGCCCAAUGAGAGUACCCGGAGAAAAAGCAUCGGCUAACUCCGUGCCAGCAGCCGCGGUAAUCCGGCGGAUGCGAGCGUUAUCCGGAUUUAUUGGGUUGAAAGGGUGCACAGGCGUUCUGUUAAGUCAGCGGUAAAAGCCCGGGGCACAACCCCGUCCCGCCGUUGAAACUGGCAGUCUCGAGUUGGAGAGAAGUAUGCGGAAUGCGCGGUGUAGCGGUGAAAUGCAUAGAUAUCGCGCAGAACUCCGAUUGCGAAGGCAGCAUGCCGGCUCCACACUGACGCUGAGGCACGAAAGCGUGGGUAUCGAACAGGAUUAGAUACCCCGGUAGUC
rnacentral:rRNA from 1 species